GACGAACGCUGGCGGCGUGCCUAACACAUGCAAGUUGAGCGACGAACCAGGGCUUGCCCUGGGGCAAAGCUGCGAACGGGUGAGUAACACGUGGGUAACCUACCCCCCUAUCCGGGUGACCCAACUUAAACUCGGCGUAUCUCCGACCGGCUCAUAUGUUUUCCCGUAUGGUUCGAUAGGGAACGUCGGUCUUCCUGUCACUUAGAGACCGAUGCGCGCUUCAUUAGCUGGUUGGUUAGGUAACGGCUCACCAAGGCAACGAUGCGUAGCCGGCCUGAGAGGACGAUCAGCCACACUGGGACUGAGACACGGUCCAGACUCCUACGGGAGGCAGCAGUGGGGAAUCUUGCGCAAUGGGCGAAAGCGUGACGCAGCAACGCCGCGUGGGGGAAGAAGGCCUUCGGAUUGUAAACCCCUUUUAGGAGGGAAGAAGGUAUGGGGGUGAAUAGACGCCCGGACUGACGGUACCUCAACAGAAAGCCACGGCUAACUACGUG
rnacentral:rRNA from 1 species